rnacentral:snRNA from 1 species
GUGCUCACUUCGGCAGCACAUCUACUAAAAUUGGACCAACACAGAGAAAGUUAGUAUGUCCCCUAUACAGGGAUGACACACAAAUUUGUGAAGGAAGUUGUGUGGUC